rnacentral:rRNA from 1 species
UACGUAGGGUGCGAGCGUUGUCCGGAAUUAUUGGGCGUAAAGAGCUCGUAGGCGGUUUGUCGCGUCUGCCGUGAAAGUCCGGGGCUCAACUCCGGAUCUGCGGUGGGUACGGGCAGACUAGAGUGAUGUAGGGGAGACUGGAAUUCCUGGUGUAGCGGUGAAAUGCGCAGAUAUCAGGAGGAACACCGGUGGCGAAGGCGGGUCUCUGGGCCAUUACUGACACUGAGAAGCGAAAGCAUGGGGGAGCGAACAGG